rnacentral:rRNA from 1 species
UACGUAGGUGGCAAGCGUUAUCCGGAAUUAUUGGGCGUAAAGCGCGCGCAGGUGGUUCUUUAAGUCUGAUGUGAAAAGCCCCCGGCUCAACCGGGGGAGGGUCAUUGGAAACUGGGGAACUUGAGUAUAGAAGAGGAAAGUGGAAUUCCACGUGUAGCGGUGAGAUGCGUAGAGAUGUGGAGGAACACCAGUGGCGAAGGCGGCUCACUGGACCAUAACUGACGCUGAUGCACGAAAGCUAGGGGGAGCAAACAGG